CCUACGGGAGGCAGCAGUGGGGAAUAUUGGACAAUGGGGGCAACCCUGAUCCAGCAAUGCCGCGUGUGUGAAGAAGGUCUUCGGAUUGUAAAGCACUUUCGACGGGGACGAUGAUGACGGUACCCGUAGAAGAAGCCCCGGCUAACUUCGUGCCAGCAGCCGCGGUAAUACGAAGGGGGCUAGCGUUGCUCGGAAUGACUGGGCGUAAAGGGUGCGUAGGCGGCGAGAUAAGUCAGGCGCGAAAUUCCUGGGCUCAACCUGGGGACUGCGUUUGAGACUGUUUGGCUAGAGGAUGGAAGAGGCUCGUGGAAUUCCCAGUGUAGAGGUGAAAUUCGUAGAUAUUGGGAAGAACACCGGUGGCGAAGGCGGCGAGCUGGUCCAUUACUGACGCUGAGGCACGAUAGCGUGGGGAGCAAACAGGAUUAGAUACCCUGGUAGUCCACGCCGUAAACGAUGUGUGCUGGAUGUUGGGGUUCAUAGAACCUCAGUGCCGUAGCUAACGCGAUAAGCACACCGCCUGGGGAGUACGGCCGCAAGGUUGAACUUAAAUGAAUUGACGG
rnacentral:rRNA from 1 species